CUACGGGAUGCACCAGUGAGGAAUAUUGCACAAUGGGGGGAACCCUGAUGCAGCAACGCCGCGUGGAGGAUGACGCAUUUCGGUGUGUAAACUCCUUUUAUAUGUCAAGAAGAUGACGGUAGCAUAUGAAUAAGCACCGGCUAACUCCGUGCCAGCAGCCGCGGUAAUAAGGAGGGUGCAAGCGUUACUCGGAAUCACUGGGCGUAAAGGACGCGUAGGCGGGUUGGAAAGUCAGGUGUGAAAUCCUACAGCUUAACUGUAGAACUGCACUGGAAACUUCUAAGCUAGAGUAUGGGAGGGGGAGAUGGAAUUAGUGGUGUAGGGGUAAAAUCCAUAGAUAUCACUAGGAAUACCUAAAGCGAAGGCGAUCUCCUGGAACAUUACUGACGCUAAGGCGUGAAAGCGUGGGGAGCAAACAGGAUUAGAUACCCGGGUAGUC
rnacentral:rRNA from 1 species